rnacentral:lncRNA from 1 species
GAAUAACAGAGUCGUUGUGAGGUCAUAAGGAAGGGGACAUUGGAGCCUGGAUAUUCAUGGAACACCAGGCAGUACAUGGGGGACUGACCAGUGAAACCCAACCUUGGGGUGAAAGGAUGAAAAGCAUAGAGUCCCCUGGCAGUUACUACUGUGAGGCAUAUGUCAGGUUCCUUGGCCUUCUCAUGGAGAAAAGUCACCCACAAUCAACUGGUGUGUGGACCAGGCUCAUAGCAGAGAAGGAAGCUAAAGUAUCCUUGGAUAUCCUUCUAAUGAUGCAUACAUCUAUGACCUUGUGAGAAAACUGAAAAGAAACAAAACAAAACAAAACAAAACAAAACAAAACAAAAAAAUGAUUAAGGGGCAUUCUACAAAAUAGCUAAUCGUCAUUUACCAGGAGUGUCAAGGUCAUAAAAGACAAGGCAAGACUGAGCAGCUGUCACAGACAUGAGGGGACUCAGGAUACGUGACAACUAAAUAUAAUACAGGCUCUCUUCUCUCUCCAAGACCAACACUCGAACCAUUAGAUGUAAUAUAAAAUAAGGAGUUCUUUAUUAUUUAUAUAAAAUUGUACAUAAAAACAAUUAAGAUUCAACAAUUCUGUGGACCCCCUGAGGAAGCUGUAUUCAGAUUGAAUACUGGAACACAAAAAUUAGUGGAAAACACUUGUGAAGUAGGACUCAGAGUUUUGCUUUAGUUAAUGGUGCAGUAGCAAGAAUAAUUUCUUACCUUUUAUACAGGCUCUGAAAUGACAGGGGUUGUUAAUUGAAGAAGAAUUUGGGUGAAGAAUAUAUGGAGGCCAAAUGUGCAUCACUUUAAGUCUAAUCUUAAGUGAAGAAAAUAAUGGAAUGGCAGAAUUUUAGGGGCACCUGGGUGGCUCGGUGGUUGAGCGUCGGCCUUCAGCUCAGAAUAUAGUCCUGGAGUCCCGGAUUGAGCAUGGAGCCUGCUUCUCCCUCUGCCUGUAUCUCUGCCUCUCUCUCUGAGUCUCUAAUGAAUAAAUACAUAAAAUCUAAAAAAAAUAAUAAUUAA